UACGGAGGAUGCGAGCGUUAUCCGGAUUUAUUGGGUUUAAAGGGUGCGUAGGCGGGCUGUUAAGUCAGCGGUAAAAGCCCGGGGCUCAACCCCGGCGAGCCGUUGAAACUGGCUGUCUUGAGAUGUCGAAAGGCAGGCGGAAUGCGCGGUGUAGCGGUGAAAUGCAUAGAUAUCGCGCAGAACCCCGAUUGCGAAGGCAGCCUGCCGGCCCCACACUGACGCUGAGGCACGAAAGCGUGGGUAUCGAACAGG
rnacentral:rRNA from 1 species